rnacentral:rRNA from 1 species
AUGGCGCUGGCGCGUCCUUCCUCCCUCGUUCUCGCGGUGGCGGUGCUGGCAAUCAUCUGCUGUUUCACGCCACGCUCAACGACGGCAAUCCGAGGGGACAUCCCCGCCGACUCCACGCCGCAAGACCAUGCAAGUUGUGGCCAACACAUGAAUCACCGUUAUAUAUCUGCAGCGAUGGCGACGUUGCGAUAUGAUUACGAGUUCUAG